CUUGGCUGAUUUCUUUUGAUUUUCCCAUGAUGUCAAACAAAGAGUCACUGAGUUUGAAGAGCCUCAGUACCAGCUGGCGAAGGGGACUCCUCUCCAGGUUCAUCUGUCUAUAGGAUGAAAUGACCCAUGGGACUGAGGAGACCUGCUGGAAUGUAUUGUGAUGCAGAGACGCUGUCAUAGCAGAUUUAGCUUCCAGCUCCAGAUUAAGCCCCAGCAUCCAUCAGUCCAGAAGGGGGAACGCUAGAAAAGGGCAGCAGGAAGGCAUCUUCCGGACGGUCCAGAGGGGAAGCCGGCCAGGUGGAAGAGGACGUCAUACUCAGACAGAGGGUAGAGAGGAUGGAGGGCAUUACCUCUUCCUGACGGGACAGUGCGGAACGCAGUGGCGCCCUGGCGGAGUCCUCGUAUGAAUCACUCUGUGAACUUUAUUGUUGUUUCUGUCAGGCAGCUUGGUGUGAAAGAGUUUCUGUCUGUUCCCUUGUUCUAUACCGAGACCUCCAGACUGGCUGCGCCCUUCCCUCCCGCCGGCCAGCUUGAUUGGGUUGACCAUUAACACUGGGAUGGGUGUGUCCCACCCACCGCACUGCCGCUUGGACAAAGCAUGAGUCCCAAAUGGCACCCUAUUCCCUAUAUUGUCCCCUACAUUUGACCAGGGCCCUGUAGUGCACUACUGUGUGUAGGGUAUAUAGGAUUCCAUUUGGGAUGCAACCAGGAGAGCAGAAGGACCUCUGGGAGACAUGCCUGCUGACUUUGUUCUGUCAGGGAAAGGUUGGGAACUGUGAAGGUUGGACAGAACCCGCCAUGAAGGCCCCCCCCCCUUCCUUCCCCUUCCCCGCAUAUCUAUCUUCUCCAAGACAUGCACUUCAUGGCACUGAGGACUUGGCAGGAUGACAAAAACUAGGCUGAGCUACAAAUAUGAUUAUACAUGAUAAAAGAGAGAGAGGCCUUCACACGACUCUUAUCAGACUGAACCCUGACCCUGUUGUUUUAGUUGUCAGACAGCCUCUGUCAACAACAGCUUUCUGAGUCUGACUACAUGUGUCAGUCCCAAAUGGUACCCUAUUCCAUAUGUAGUGCACCACUUAGCCAUAGGGCUCUGGUCAAAAGUAGUGCACCACUUAGCCAUAGGGCUCUGGUCAAAAGUAGU